GCAAGACUUCAGGUGCAUCUGAACAAUUUAUCUGCAUUGAUAUCCACUGCUACAAACAUGGCUGUCUCGGUGCUUCGGCUGACAGUUGUCUGGGGACUGCUUGUCUUAAUCCUGACUUGCCAGGCUGAUGACAAACCAGAGGGCAAGCCAGAUGAGCAGCCACAUGACUCAGGCAAAAAUUCAGAGCCAGAGAUCCCAAAAUUCCUAAACCUUUUGGGCUCGGAGAUUAUUGAGAAUGCUGUGGAGUUCAUCCUCCGCUCCAUGACGAGGAGCACGUAAGCACUGAGACAAACCUUGCUUUUGUCCAGUUGGCUGUUGAGAAUUUUGGGAACAUGGUGAUAAACAAGGAGAACAUUCAUCAAAGUGACUUUCUCAGGUCUUAAGCCCUCUCUAGCUGGUAAUUGAUUCCCUGUGUCUGGUUUGUUUCUAAGGACACACCUACAUGGCUCCAGAAUUAGCCAAGGGCAACCAAAUCCUGCUUUUCCAGUUCUGUUUCACAAGUCCUCCUGGACAGAGGAUUCAAAGCGGCUCCCAGCGAGUGCUCAGAAUUCAGGCCCUGGCUUCAACCAAACACAGCUUAUUCUGAACAUCCUGACUUUGCAAUUUUGCUUCUAGAAGUCAAAAUAAAUAUGUCCACCAUAGGUCA